UCGAAAAACCAAAAAGAAAAAAAAAAAGAAGAAAAAUUUGUGCACAUGAGUCACCCUUCUCAUUGUCGGAUGCUCACCUGUCAGUUCUCUAGGCCUUAAUUAUGACAGGAGCACUUUCUGUUUUUCAGUUCCCCAGCCCCGGCAACCGGCAAUCUGCACUCAGUCUAGAGAUGGCACCAAAACCAAAAUCGCAGUUUCCAUAUGCUCGGGCUACUGAGCGUUGGGAUUGGGGACCACUGUUCAGUGAGGGGUGAAGUGUGGCUCAGUAAUCUGUCCCUUGCAUGCUUUUCUGCAUAUCCCCUUCAUGAAUUCGGAGCACAGAGAUCCUGAGUACUGGGAUUUGGGGCAACCGUUCAACUAGGGGCGAAGUGAGGCUCAGGGAUUCCUCUUGCAUGCUCUCUGUGUGUUUCCUCUGUUGGUCCUGAGCAGGGUGCUCCCAAACCACCGGACUUUGCUUCGUGACUUAGCUGCUGUACAUCAAGCAACUAACAAAGCUGAAGUUUGGCCAAUUCUUAACUGGAAACAAUCAAAAUAGAAGUAAUAAGCCCAGUGUUGUGGCCCACGCCUUUAAUACCAGCACUUGGGAGGCAGAGAGCCACCCAGUCUUGUGCCAGUCGCAUCUGACAGAAGUCUCAACAGCAGGAUUUAAUUGUGUGUGCAGCACCCAUGUAGAAAGGUGGAUUCGGUGGCCAUACCUGCAAUUCCACUACUCGUACGACAAGUGAAGACAGACGAAUCACCCGGAAGCACCAGUUAGCCCGGAGCACUCUGAGAAGGAGAAACAGAAGAGAGACCCUGCCUCAAGCAAAUGAGUGUGUGUGUGUGUGUGUGUGUGUGUGUGUGUGUGUAAUGUA